GAGAACUCGGGUGAAGGAACUAGGCAAAAUGGCACCGUAACUUCGGGAGAAGGUGCGCCGGCUAGGGUGAAGGAUUUACUCCGUAAGCUCUGGCUGGUCGAAGAUACCAGGCCGCUGCGACUGUUUAUUAAAAACACAGCACUCUGCAAACACGAAAGUGGACGUAUAGGGUGUGACGCCUGCCCGGUGCCGGAAGGUUAAUUGAUGGGGUUAGCGCAAGCGAAGCUCUUGAUCGAAGCCCCGGUAAACGGCGGCCGUAACGAUAACGGUCCUAAGGUAGCGAAAUUCCUUGUCGGGUAAGUUCCGACCUGCACGAAUGGCGUAACGAUGGCGGCGCUGUCUCCACCCGAGACUCAGUGAAAUUGAAAUCGCUGUGAAGAUGCAGUGUAUCCGCGGCUAGACGGAAAGACCCCGUGAACCUUUGCUGUAGCUUUGCACUGGACUUUGAGCCUGCUUGUGUAGGAUAGGUGGGAGGCUUUGAAGCGUGGACGCCAGUUCGCGUGGAGCCAUCCUUGAAAUACCACCCUGGCAUGCUUGAGGUUCUAACUCUGGUCCGUAAUCCGGAUCGAGGACAGUGUAUGGUGGGCAGUUUGACUGGGGCGGUCUCCUCCUAAGAGUAACGGAGGAGUACGAAGGUGCGCUCAGACCGGUCGGAAAUCGGUCGCAGAGUAUAAAGGCAAAAGCGCGCUUGACUGCGAGACAGACACGUCGAGCAGGUACGAAAGUAGGUCUUAGUGAUCCGGUGGUUCUGUAUGGAAGGGCCAUCGCUCAACGGAUAAAAGGUACUCCGGGGAUAACAGGCUGAUACCGCCCAAGAGUUCAUAUCGACGGCGGUGUUUGGCACCUCGAUGUCGGCUCAUCACAUCCUGGGGCUGAAGCCGGUCCCAAGGGUAUGGCUGUUCGCCAUUUAAAGUGGUACGCGAGCUGGGUUUAGAACGUCGUGAGACAGUUCGGUCCCUAUCUGCCGUGGACGUUUGAGAUUUGAGAGGGGCUGCUCCUAGUACGAGAGGACCGGAGUGGACGAACCUCUGGUGUUCCGGUUGUCACGCCAGUGGCAUUGCCGGGUAGCUAUGUUCGGAAAGAUAACCGCUGAAAGCAUCUAAGCGGGAAACUUGCCUCAAGAUGAGAUCUCACUGGGAACUUGAUUCCCCUGAAGGGCCGUCGAAGACUACGACGUUGAUAGGCUGGGUGUGUAAGCGUUGUGAGGCGUUGAGCUAACCAGUACUAAUUGCCCGUGAGGCUUGACC
rnacentral:rRNA from 1 species